ensembl:lncRNA
GCUGGAUGAAUUUGCCGAUAUGAUUCUGCUUCCUCAUCCCAGGCAGAAGAACAUCUAUUCUUCCUUUUUCGGGGGGCUUAGUUGAAGCCUUGCGCUUCGGUUACUCUCUUACCACUGCCCAGAGUACGUGUGGUUCCUUGGAAAGCACAGAGCAACUCACGCCAAGCACUCCGCCUGUGUUUGGCAGGGCACGAUGCGCUGCGCUGAGCCUCGAGCAUGGCAGCCUCCGUGCCCAAAGAGCAGCAAUACUUAGCCCAUCCAUCUUUGCUGGUGGGAAGAUGUUCUAAAAACAGGAGAGCUGACUUCUUACGGGAGAGUUGGAUGCAAAAGAAAGACACUCAUUUCCCAGUAAAGAUUAAACCACAGUUGGGAUGCCAGAUGAACAAGGCAUUAAAAUCUACAGCCAAGAUGUAUUAGCAGACCUGCCUGACUCCAUGAGAGAGUAAAGCCAGCCUGAGGUAUGUGAAUGCUUCACUCAGACGGAAAGAUACAGCCGUGGUAAGUCCUCAGAGGAUGACUACUCAACUGCCUCAUCUUCCCAGCUUCAUCCAGGAAAAGAGACAUCCUUGUUGGGUGGAAACAUUCAAUGAGACAGGCAGGGAGGGCUUCUAUAUGUGGGCCCAGUGGGAGAAAACUUGCAAGAUGUCCCCAGGGAGGAAGCAAACACCAUUCUAACCUUGGGUACGCUUGAGCAAAGGAUGGCCUGGAGAGCAUGGUCUGGGCUUCAGUAUAAGAUUGCUCCUGAUCUGUGAAAAACCAAAUCAGGAGUGUUUUUUCAAGCUAGGAGAGAGAAGGGUAGGUUGCGUAGGUUUAGGCGUGAAGAGGCAGUACCUGUAGUACCUUAACUUGUCUAUCAAAUAUCAGAAUAUGACUCUGAUAGGAAGGCGAUCUUAGUUAUUGGAACCCUUUAUGUACAGUGACCUUUAAAAAAAACCCAACAAAACAGGACUUAAGAAAAAAAACCAUCCAUGCAAAACAAAAAAAAUCUUUAUCUGUGAACUUUUAAAGCUGCUUGCAUUUGUAGAUAUUUGUUGGAGCAAAAUCCAUUAGAAAACAGAAUGAACUGUGCUAGUCAGAAAACUCAGUGCAAGUCAUAAACUCCACAGGCUCAGCUCCAGAAUUCAGCUGCUGUGUCCUAAACAACGUGAGUCUAAUCUAACGUAUAAACAUCUCCAAAGCAUUCAUCACUGUAGUAUCUAGGUCAUGUACAUAGAUUUCAUAAUAUAGUGGGAUCUGUCCAGAAGGGAUGAUCAAUUUCCCAUUCAUCUGCUGUGCUGCCUAUUGGCUUUGCCAUUACAUUAAAAAUAAUGGAAGUUACUCUCUGAUCACAAGCACGUAAUUCACAAAUGGGCUGCCCCAAUGUGAUUUUAAUGCGGGCAUUCAGGUAAGAUUUAUCGUGUUUAGCUUUGCUAUUUUGCAGCUCCCCAGACAUUUCCCAAGAGCAGAGUCUCUGGCUGCAUCACUCCAUUCGCAUCCUGCUGUUUCCAGAGAGCAAAUUUGGCUUUCAGCAACCCCAGGAGAGAAAGCUAACUGGAAGGACAAAGGUAGGCUGUUUCAGAGAUACACACGUGCAUCUGCCACCUCUUUCAUUCCGGAGAGCUGGAAGCUGUUUGGGAACUUCGAUGUCCUGUGGGGAGACACAGACCAAGCAGGGACGGGCCUGGCCUGGCCUGGGGGCUGUUGUGUUUUAUGCCUAAGGGGCGUACAGAAAUCUCCACGCCCACCCAGCAACCAGCAGAAUAUGCUUUCUUCCCAUCCCUGGUAUUUCCUCUUGUGGCCUUUCUGCAAUGCUGGGUGCAAACAAAUGCAGUGUCCAAAUGCUGAAAGGCACGGAAGUUACCCCCAAAUUAUGCUGGUGACCCGCAGAAGAGCUGGGUACAUUUAUGCAUUGGAAAGACAGGUGCCCCAAAAGACUCUGGUGGCAGUGCUCCUUUAAAUUAGAAAAAAAAGAAAAGAAAAAGGGAAAAAAAAAAGCAGUGAGAACAGGAAUGGUUCUGAAAUGGAAAGUAUGUAAUAAAAACUGUUAUUUAUUAAUAGUGCUGCUGGAAACUCCCUGGAAACUGCAUCUGCCAGCAGCGAUAUCUGCAUGUCAAUCUAACUCCCUCUUUUUAUUCUGGAGCAAAAAAGCUGCAUUAUUGCUCUUGCUGCUGUGAUCCCCUCUCAGGCUGCUCUGAUACAUGCCUCUCCAGUUCCCUCCUUUUGGGACAAAUCCCCUCCCAUGCCAUCUGCCUCACGCUCCAGCUUCUCCUCAGCCCUCCCAGCACACAGCCCGGGCCGAGGCCCCUCAGCACCCUGCCUGAGCCCACAGCUACAAGCACUGUGCUGGGGGAAGUUUUGGAGCUCCCCGGUACUUCUGUCUGCCCUGAGAGCCUCAGUGAUGUUUCUGAGAUCGUGAGGGACUCUGAAGGACUGUGGCCGUAUCACCGCUGUGGGCUCAGAUGUUGCCAAAACACUGAAUAGACCCUGUGGUUCCUCUCCUGCUUGCAGGCCUUCCUGGCCAGGGCAGGAGGUGAUGGGACCUGAUGUUAACUUCGUAUCAUAUCCUGCAUCUCUUCUUUGCUCCGGUAGCCUCCAAAACCAUUGGCGUGCACAGGCAGCUAAAGCCACCAAGGUGACAGGGUAGCAUCCUGACAAAACCCUUGCUGGAGGGUAGAUAGAGGAUGAUGUGACAUUUUUCCAUCUACCAUCAUAAAACUGGUGGUGGGCCAACUUGGUGUCCAGUUUACUCCCUGUGUUUGAAGUUUUUUACUAGACAGCCUCUUCCAGGUGCUCUGAUCCAGGCACUGGCUUCGGAUGCUCUUCCCUAAAUCAAGCUGCGUGCCUGACUCUCCCCAUACAUUAACGAGCAAUCUGGUGCACUCCUGCAGCCAAGGAGCAGUGCGGCAAAGGAGCAGCUUACAUCAGAGCUGCAAUGAUGAGAGCUGGAUGUGGUGGAAAGGGAGCAGGCCUCUAGGAAAGAAGGCUCAGGGCACAUCCAGCGUACCAAAUUCUGCAGACUCCCUCGAACCCUUCGCUUUUUAACCCCGACAAGGUCACACUUCUGCUGGGUGAUGUCAGACCCAGUGAUCGAACUGCCGACCUGCAGCCAUCUAAGAGCAGGGAAAUGACUCUCAAGUAGGGCACAACGCCUCUGAUGUCUAACCCUAAGGAGAAUCAUUCAUCCUCCUCUUUCCUGAGAGGUGGAAGCGUACCAGCAGCACGGAGCUGCACAACAAGGACGAAGGACAGCCUGUCCUGUCCUAUGCAAAAAAGUCCCACUCUUGAAGCGAGGCUUCAGAACGGUGUGCGCGACUUUGAUUUGCAUCCAGAGUGGAAACACGCUUGCCAGCCAUCAGGCUGAUCUGAUUUGAAGCAGCUGAGAUAUUAAAUGCACUAAACCAGAAUGUAUAAUAGCUGCGCUGGCAGACCUUUAAUUAUUGUCGUGCUUGUGGGCACCGAUAUCAUUCAAAUUAAAAGCUUUCCCCACUACUUGCAUUUUUUUAAUACGUUGAUGUAUGCUGCACUGAUGGAUUGUCCUCUGUUGUCCUUCUCUCACAAAAUGCUUGGCACAAUUUGCCCCAGCGCAGAGCUAAAAACUAUUGGCACUCGCUUGCCGUAUUUCUGGUUCUCUCCUUGCUUCGUUUUGAAACGGGGACCCC